rnacentral:rRNA from 1 species
GACGAACGCUGGCGGCGUGCUUAACACAUGCAAGUCGAACGGAAAGGCCCUGCUUUUGUGGGGUGCUCGAGUGGCGAACGGGUGAGUAACACGUGAGUAACCUGCCCUUGACUUUGGGGAUAACUUCAGGAAAACUGGGGGCUAAUACCGGAUAGGAGCUCCUGCUGCAUGGUGGGGGUUGGAAAGUUUCGGCGGUUGGGGAUGGACUCGCGGCUUAUCAGCUUGUUGGUGGGGUAGUGGCUUACCAAGGCUUUGACGGGUAGCCGGCCUGAGAGGGUGACCGGCCACAUUGGGACUGAGAUACGGCCCAGACUCCUACGGGAGGCAGCAGUGGGGAAUAUUGCACAAUGGGCGGAAGCCUGAUGCAGCAACGCCGCGUGCGGGAUGACGGCCUUCGGGUUGUAAACCGCUUUCGCCUGUGACGAAGCGUGAGUGACGGUAAUGGGUAAAGAAGCACCGGCUAACUACGUG